GACGAACGCUGGCGGCGUGCCUAAUACAUGCAAGUCGAGCGGAGUCGAUGGAAAGCUUGCUUUCUUGAGACUUAGCGGCGGACGGGUGAGUAACACGUAGGCAACCUGCCCUUUAGCCUGGGAUAACUACCGGAAACGGUAGCUAAUACCGAAUAACCCACCGGACCUCAUGGUCUGGUGUUGAAAGACGGCAUCUCACUGUCACUACAGGAUGGGCCCGCGGCGCAUUAGCUAGUUGGUGAGGUAACGGCUCACCAAGGCCACGAUGCGUAGCCGACCUGAGAGGGUGAUCGGCCACACUGGGACUGAGACACGGCCCAGACUCCUACGGGAGGCAGCAGUAGGGAAUCUUCCACAAUGGACGAAAGUCUGAUGGAGCAACGCCGCGUGAGUGAAGAAGGUUCUCGGAUCGUAAAACUCUGUUGUGAGGGAAGAACAAGUACCGGAGUAACUGCCGGUACCUUGACGGUACCUCAUUAGAAAGCCACGGCUAACUUCGUGCCAGCCGCCGCAGUAAAAC
rnacentral:rRNA from 1 species